rnacentral:snRNA from 1 species
AGAACGAUAUAGAGAAGAUUAGCAUGGCCCCUCUGCGAGGAGGACAUCCUAAAAGGAAGAUAUAAUUAUCCUCAUA